CCUCCCCUUCCUUUCCUUUUCCCCUCCCCCUCUUUUUAGCAUGUGGUUUAAUUCGAAGCAACGCGAAGAACCUUACCAGGUCUUGACAUCCCUCUGACCGGUCCAUAAAGGGACCUUCCCUUCGGGGCAGAGGAGACAGGUGGUGCAUGGUUGUCGUCAGCUCGUGUCGUGAGAUGUUUGGUUAAGUCCAGCAACGAGCGCAACCCCUAUCCUUAGUAGCCAGCAAGUGAUGUUGGGCACUCUAGGGAGACUGCCAGGAACAACCUGGAGGAAGGCGGGGAUGACGUCAAAUCAUCAUGCCCCUUAUGACCUGGGCUACACACGUGCUACAAUGGUGGCUACAAAGGGAAGCAACCCUGCGAAGGCAAGCAAAUCCCAAAAAGGCCAUCCCAGUUCGGAUUGUAGUCUGCAAUUCGACUACAUGAAGCCGGAAUCGCUAGUAAUCGCAGAUCAGAAUGCUGCGGUGAAUACGUUCCCGGGUCUUGUACACACCGCCCGU
rnacentral:rRNA from 1 species